UGAUAUUUGUAUCCUUUGUGUUGUUUUGUCAGCAUAAUCAUUAAUCAUAUACAUACAUAUUCAUACAUCAAAUAUUUCAUUAUGCAUUUUUAUUGCAUUUGACUCCUUUGUUCUGAUCCUCUCGUCAGUGAUAUUAUUUCCCCAGGCAGGUCUGGUGCGUCUGUCCUCCUUCAAUUGUAGAGUGUCAGCCCCUUAAGCAGAAAUAAU
rnacentral:lncRNA from 1 species